rnacentral:rRNA from 1 species
AAGUCGUASCAAGGUUUCCGUAGGUGAACCUGCGGAAGGAUCAUUG